UACGGGGGGGGCAAGCGUUGUUCGGAAUUACUGGGCGUAAAGGGCUCGUAGGUGGCCAACUAAGUCAGACGUGAAAUCCCUCGGCUUAACCGGGGAACUGCAUCUGAUACUGGAUGGCUUGAGUUCGGGAGAGGGAUGCGGAAUUCCAGGUGUAGCGGUGAAAUGCGUAGAGAUCGGGAAGAACAUCGGUGGCGAAAGCGCUCUGCUGGACUGCAACUGACACUCAGGGACGAAAGCUAGGGGAGCGAAUGGG
rnacentral:rRNA from 1 species